rnacentral:rRNA from 1 species
ACGGAGGGUGCAAGCGUUGUUCGGAAUCACUGGGCGUAAAGGGCGCGUAGGCGGUUUGAUAAGUCAGAUGUGAAAGCCCACGGCUUAACUGUGGAAGUGCAUUUGAAACUGUCAGACUGGAGUAUCAGAGGGGAAAGUGGAAUUCCAGGUGUAGAGGUGAAAUGCGUAGAUAUGGGGAGGAAUACCGGUGGCGAAGGCGGCUUCCUGGCUUAAUACUGACGCUGAGGCGCGAAAGCGUGGGGAGCGAACAG